rnacentral:rRNA from 1 species
UACGUAGGGUGCAAGCGUUGUCCGGAAUUAUUGGGCGUAAAGAGCUCGUAGGCGGUCUGUCACGUCGGGCGUGAAAAUCCAGGGCUUAACCCUGGACCUGCAGUGGGUACGGGCAGACUAGAGUGCGGUAGGGGAGACUGGAAUUCCUGGUGUAGCGGUAAAUGCGCAGAUAUCAGGAGGAACACCGGUGGCGAAGGCGGGUCUCUGGGCAGUAACUGACGCUGAGGAGCGAAAGCGUGGGGAGCGAACAGG